GUCCCCUGAGAGAUGAUCAGGUUGAUAGGCACUAAGUGGAAGUACAGUAAUGUAUGGAGCUGAGGUGUACUAAUAGGACGUAUUUCCUGCAAGG
rnacentral:rRNA from 1 species